CGCGAUGAAGGCCUUCGGUUGUAAAGCACUUUAGUGGGGAGGAAGGCGCAAGCUUGACCUAUCCCAAGAAUAAGCACGGGCUAAGUUCGUGC
rnacentral:rRNA from 1 species